rnacentral:rRNA from 1 species
AACGAACGCUGGCGGCAUGCCUAACACAUGCAAGUCGAACGAGACCUUCGGGUCUAGUGGCGCACGGGUGCGUAACGCGUGGGAACCUGCCCUUAGGUUCGGAAUAACUCCCCGAAAGGGGUGCUAAUACCGGAUAAUGUCUUCGAACCAAAGAUUUAUCGCCUUUGGAUGGGCCCGCGUUGGAUUAGCUAGUUGGUAGGGUAAAAGCCUACCAAGGCGACGAUCCAUAGCUGGUCUGAGAGGAUGAUCAGCCACACUGGGACUGAGACACGGCCCAGACUCCUACGGGAAGCAGCAGUGGGGAAUAUUGGACAAUGGGCGAAAGCCUGAUCCAGCAAUGCCGCGUGAGUGAUGAAGGCCUUAGGGUUGUAAAGCUCUUUUACCCGGGAUGAUAAUGACAGUACCGGGAGAAUAAGCGCCGGCUAACUCCGUG